UUCGCCUUUACCGGUGGGGCCGUGAGAGCGGUAGCCCGGAGAUGGUACUGAGAAAAGACCCAGGCCUACGGGCGCAGCAGUCGCGAAAACUCGCAAAGCACGAAAGUGUGACGGGGCUACCCCGAGUGCCAUCCGCUGAGGAUGGCUUUUCUUUGGUAUAACUAGCCAGGGGAAUAAGGAGAGGGCAAGACUGGUGUCAGCCGCCGCGGUAAUACCAGCUCUCCGAGUGGUAGGGAUGAUUAUUGGGCUUAAAGCGUCCGUAGCCGGCUUAGCAAGUCUCCUGUUAAACUCAGCGACCUAAUCGUUGAAUCGCGGGAGAUACUACUAGGCUAGGAGGCGGGAGAGGUCGACGGUACUUCUGGGGUAGGGGUGAAUCCUAUAUCCCGGGAGGACCACCAGUGGCGAAGGCUGUUGACUGAAACGCGCCCGGACGG
rnacentral:rRNA from 1 species